UACGUAGGCACCAAACGUUGUUCGGAAUUACUGGGCGUAAAGCGUCUGUAGGUGGUCAAAUAAGUCAACUGUUAAAUCUUGAGGCUCAACCUCAAAAUCGCAGUCGAAACUAUUAGACUAGAGUAUAGUAGGGGUAAAGGGAAUUUCCAGUGGAGCGGUGAAAUGCGUAGAGAUUGGAAAGAACACCGAUGGCGAAGGCACUUUACUGGGCUAUUACUAACACUGAGAGACGAAAGCUAGGGUAGCAAAUGGG
rnacentral:rRNA from 1 species